GAUGAACGCUGGCGGCGUGCCUAAUACAUGCAAGUCGAACGCUGAAGGAGGAGCUUGCUCUUCUGGAUGAGUUGCGAACGGGUGAGUAACGCGUAGGUAACCUGCCUGGUAGCGGGGGAUAACUAUUGGAAACGAUAGCUAAUACCGCAUGACAACAGUUAUUGCAUGAUAACUGUUUAAAAGGGGCAACUGCUCCACUACCAGAUGGACCUGCGUUGUAUUAGCUAGUUGGUGAGGUAACGGCUCACCAAGGCGACGAUACAUAGCCGACCUGAGAGGGGGAGCGGCCACACUGGGACGGAGACACGGCCCAGACGCCUACGGGAGGCAGCAGUAGGGAAUCUUCGGCAAGGGACGGAAGUCUGACCGAGCAACGCCGCGUGAGUGAAGAAGGUUGUCGGAUCGUAAAGCUCGGUUGUAAGAGAAGAACGAGUGUGAGAGUGGAAAGUUCACACUGUGACGGUAUCUUACCAGAAAGGGACGGCUAACUACGUG
rnacentral:rRNA from 1 species